CAAGCGAAGCCGGGUGGCGGAAACGCUGCUAACCCCGUCAGGUCCGAAAGGAAGCAGCGGUAACAGUUGUUUCCGGGUACCUGGCUUCCCUGGCAG
rfam:Desulfomicrobium orale DSM 12838, complete genome.